rnacentral:rRNA from 1 species
CAGUCGCCGCGGGAAUACGAAGGGUGCAAGCGUUACUCGGAAUUACUGGGCGUAAAGCGUGCGUAGGUGGUGGUUUAAGUCCGUUGUGAAAGCCCUGGGCUCAACCUGGGAAUUGCAGUGGAUGCUGGAUCACUAGAGUGUGGUAGAGGAUAGUGGAAUUUCCGGUGUAGCAGUGAAAUGCGUAGAGAUCGGAAGGAACAUCUGUGGCGAAGGCGACUAUCUGGGCCAACACUGAUACUGAGGCACGAAAGCGUGGGGAGCAAACAGGAUUAGAGACCCCUGUAGUCCCUGUCUCUUAUAC